rnacentral:rRNA from 1 species
GAUGAACGCUGGCGGCGUGCCUAACACAUGCAAGUCGAGCGGCAGCGCGAGUAGUUUACUACUUGGCGGCGAGCGGCGGACGGCUGAGUAACGCGUGGGAAUUUGCCCCAAAGUGAGGAAUAACUGCCCGAAAGGUGGCUAAUGCCGCAUAUGAUCUUCGGAUUAAAGGAUUUAUCCGCUUUGGGAGAAGCCCGCGUCGGAUUAGGUAGUUGGUGAGGUAAUGGCUCACCAAGCCGACGAUCCGUAGCUGGUCUGAGAGGAUGACCAGCCAGACUGGAACUGAGACACGGUCCAGACUCCUACGGGAGGCAGCAGUGAGGAAUCUUCCACAAUGGGCGAAAGCCUGAUGGAGCAACGCCGCGUGCAGGAUGAAGGCCUUCCGGGUUGUAAACUGCUUUUAUAAGUGAGGAAUAUGACGUAGCUUAUGAUAAGGAUCCGCUAAUA